GAUGAACGCUGGCGGAAUGCUUAACACAUGCAAGUCGACUUUAUUAGUUUUCGGACUGAUAGAGUGGCGGACGGGUGAGAAACGCGUGAAGAACCUACCCUGCAGAGGGGGAUAACUUUCCGAAAGGAGAGCUAAUACCGCAUAACUUUAUGAUAAGGCAUCUUAAUGUAAAGAAAGUGAGAACACUGCAGGAGGGCUUCGCGUCCUAUUAGCUAGUUGGUGAGGUAACGGCUCACCAAGGCGACGAUAGGUAGCCGGCCUGAGAGGGUGAACGGCCACAAGGGAACUGAGACACGGUCCUUACUCCUACGGGAGGCAGCAGUGGGGAAUAUUGGACAAUGGGCUAAAGCCUGAUCCAGCAAUUCCGCGUGAACGAUGAAGGUCUUCGGAUUGUAAAGUUCUUUCGGCAGGGAAGAAAAAAUGACGGUACCUGCAUAAGAAGCACCGGCUAAUACGUG
rnacentral:rRNA from 1 species